rnacentral:rRNA from 1 species
UACGUAGGCAGCAAGCGUUGUUCGGAGUUACUGGGCGUAAAGGGUGUGUAGGCGGUUCUUUAAGUUUGGUGUGAAAUCUCCCGGCUCAACUGGGAGGGUGCGCCGAAUACUGAGGGACUCGAGUGCGGGAGAGGAAAGUGGAAUUCCUGGUGUAGCGGUGAAAUGCGUAGAUAUCAGGAGGAACACCGGUGGUGUAGACGGCUUUCUGGACCGUAACUGACGCUGAGACACGAAAGCGUGGGUAGCAAACAGG